AAGGGUUCUUUUCAUUUCAUGGGAGCCCCUCUUUCAGGGUUUGUCAAGAUUAACUUUGAUGGUAGUGUUAGGGAUGGCAUGGGUAGUGCUGGCUAUGUUAUCUAGGGUUCGGAUGCUAGGCUACUGAUGGUGGAGGGCUCAUCUUUUUGAGCCUUUCAUCCUGGAAGCUGAGCUUUGUGCUGCUUGGGUGAGUAUUAUCAG
rnacentral:lncRNA from 1 species